AUUUUUUUGUUGCAUCGAUAAUCGGUUUAGAAUCUAAUCGUUUACCUCAUAAUCGGAAUCAAAUCGUGAGGUGCCAAGAGAUUCCCACCCCUAAAAAACAGUGUAGCAUAAUUUGCAUCAAUGGAUUGAAAGUAUUGUUUAGGUUAUUAUUAAGAGUUACUGAGUAGAUUCUCUUUAUGUAGUGACUCAGAGACAUGCACCGUCCAGAGCCCAGAGCGAACACUGUGAGAGGCAAGAGAGGGUGGAAGCCAGUGCUCCUCCAUCCGAUGAUGGGAUGGACCUACCGGGACAGCGAGGGCCAAAUGAAGCUAUGAAUCACUUUGCAGAUUUCAUUCCUAUUGAUAUUGAAGAAGAUGAAGCCAUUGAGGAGGCCAUCAGACGCAGUCUUUUAGAAGAGUCUGUGCAGGCCUUACAGGAUUCAAGGUUUGCAGAAAGUUUGAGCAUAGAAGAAAUGACAGGAAUUGUGAAAGCUCACAGUGAGAGGGUUGUCACAGAAGCAUACAGACCAAUCUACAUCAGCCGAGGGAACGUGUGGACAACUGCCCUCCGACAGUUUAGUAGACGGAAAUUCACUGAGUGCACCGAUCUGCUGUAUGUCACCUUUGCCAGUGACGAAGGCACCAACGAAGAUGGAGAAGACCUCGGAGGGCCACGGCGAGAAUUCUUCCGUCUGCUUGUGAAAGCCAUCUUCAAAGAGAGUGGAGCAUUUGAAGGUAAUCUUUUUUUUUUUUU